rnacentral:tRNA from 1 species
GGGCCGGUAGCUCAGCUUGGCUAGAGCGUUCGACUGAUAAUCGAAAGGUCGAGAGUCCGAGUCUCUCUCGGCCCA